UACAGAGGUCCCAAGCGUUGUUCGGAUUCACUGGGCGUAAAGCGCGCGUAGGCGGACCUGCAAGUCGGGGGUGAAAGCCCGAGGCUCAACCUCAGAACUGCCUUCGAUACUGCGGGUCUCGAGUCCGGGAGAGGUGAGUGGAAUUCCUAGUGUAGAGGUGAAAUUCGUAGAUAUUAGGAAGAACACCAGUGGCGAAGGCGGCUCACUGGCCCGGUACUGACGCUGAGGCGCGAAAGCGUGGGGAGCAAACAGG
rnacentral:rRNA from 1 species